ACACAGCCAAUGAACAUGCUCUACAGUCAACAAGCGCAAUCUCCAGCCAAUAAGCGCACUCUCCACUGUGUGUCGUCAGUCAGUGUGCACCCGUUGAAGAGAUAUAGUUUCCUGAGGCAGAAACAACGGUAAAACUUCUCCAUAAAGUGGACAUUCCUUUAGUGAGUCAUUGAAAAUAAGUAAGUGCGAUUCUCUGUUCUUUAUUAGUUGACUUUGUGUUAGUCAAGUGAUGACUUGUUGGUUUAUCAUCGUCAGAUUCACUUGCACGAGCAGUAUAGUGAUUCUCGUGUUCAUCUUCUGUAUUGCUGCUUAAUGUUAAUUCUUCCUUUAGUAUUUAAUGGAUAUUUGUAGGUAAUACAUUUAUAGUAUUUAGUAUUGUACAUUUGGAUUAUUGAUUUCUUGCCAGUCGUCAGAUUUACCGUGCCAUUUGAUAACGCAGCAACUAUAUAAUGACCUUUCACUUACUUUAUUCUGUGCGUUUCAUGCGCCACUUUGUGGCACUACAUGGUAUUGCAACAAUGUUUGUUUAGUAUAUGUUAUACUUUAAGGAUAUUAUUUUAUCUUGCAAAUUGUUGAAAGUUAUUGCGAUUAUUGUCUAUUCAUUGUUCUUUUUGUCAUUCACAGACCACAUUUCUACGUAAAUGUCCACUAAAUGAGACUGUUGAACAAUAAAUGCCCUGUGGUCUGACUGUGCUGUCAUGUUUAAAUAAUUUCAUUCAAUCCUUGAACUGAAUCCUGACUCAGAUGUCUUGACCGACAUACCAGUGCGAACACGCACCCACCUGAACUAGUGCACACAAUAGAAUAAAUCCCUCAGAUUUUACAUUGGUCCUUCGAGCCGGAUCGUGUGUUUACACUGGACUAAGGAUGUCAGAAUCCCAGAACCCAGAAUAUCAGAUCCAAGGUGCACGACCUAGACGUUCAGUUCGUCCGCCAGCAUACCUCCAAGACUUUGAGGUCCAGUAUCCAACGAACGCUCAAGUUACCAUACCUUUCAUACAGAUAGCACAGCAGACACAUGGGCGAGAAGAUAAACAGUGGGAAGACACCUCAAAUGCUCGCCUGCAAACCACCAGAGAUUACAGCUCAGAUGAGGGAGCUGAACGUGGAACACCUGAUUCUUUAGAGGGAACAGGACCACAACGAGAGCCAUGGUUUCUCAUUAGAGACCAGUGGAGUGCACAAGAUGACUAUACUCACUCCUUACCUCCAGAUAUUCAUAAGACAGUGCAUGACAUUGAAAAAGAAAACAGAGAGCUUCGUCAAUCUCAAUUAUCAAUGAAGGAGGAGAUCAGACGACUGACAGAAAUCAUGCAAGACAUGUUAACGAGGAGCCAGUCAAGUCAGAGGUCAUCGCCUACAGCUAAACAGCAGUAUCCAUCCCAACCAACUCCAGUGCCCUCUCCUAGAACUAUUUACAGGGGGUCAGAAACACCUGUCCCUAACCCAGCACCCCGUGCUCAUCCAGUACCGACACCACGCAUAAUGCCAACUCCAAGGAGUACAAACCUUUAUAGUACAGACAGGAAUGCCCAUCAUACUCCUCCUCCAGUUCAACAUCAGUACGCUGACACCCUUGCUACUGGUAGAGUUGCAGCCCAGGGUCCCUCCAGUACGUAUGACCCCUACAGACAUUACCUGGGUCGACAGCAGCCAGAGAUGGAUGGAUCAGUCCCUACUCCCUCCAUGCCCCCAGCGCAUUAUUCUGUCCAGCCUAAUUGGUUACCCGCAGACCCACCCAGGUGGCAGAUGGAUGUGAAUAGACAGGAGACAAUCUACAGAGGUCCUCAGCCAACUAUACCGUAUUUCUCCCAUCGAGAUCCAGGUGAAUUCACCCGCCUUAAGUUAGCCUUGAGUAAUCUGUUGCCAGAGGAUGCAACUGAACUCUUUAAGUACCAGGUUCUAGUUGACCACUUAAAGCUAACUGAAGCUCGCUUGAUAGCAGACUCAUUCUUGAACUCCCUUACUCCAUACUCAGACACUAUGGCAGCACUUACUGAGAGGUAUGGGCGACCGCACCAACUUGCUCUAAAUCGAAUAGCUGCUGUAAUGGACUCUCCGGACAUCCAUUCUGGAGAUACUGCAGGCUUCGAACGCUUUGCUCUACAAAUCCAGGCACUGGUAGGUCUCUUGAAUACACUGGGCACAGAAGGAGAAGUUGAAUUACGGUGUGGAUCACAUGUGGCUCGACUCCUGACUAAACUACCUCCAGAGUUGCGGUCAUCCUUUAGAAGGCAUAUGAGUUUUGAACCAGGAAUUGUGUACACACUCCUUGACUUCGCUAAGUGGCUCAAGUUUGAAUCAUGGUGUCAAGACCAUGAAAGCAUUGGUGGAGACAAAGUUCACAGAGUCAAACAAAGAACAGACAUCCGCAGGGAUUCCAAGUUGAAAUAUCAACCAACCACAAUACUCCAUGGUGCAGAUCAACCAUCAAUAUCAGUGCUACCACAGCCAGCUAAAAGCAUAAAUAAAAGCAAUGCCUUCUGCCCUUACUGUGAUGGCAAAGACCACUACCUGAGCCAGUGUACGUCCUUCCAAGCACUUUCCAAAGAUCAAGUGACUGACUGGAUAAAGACAAAUCAUAGAUGUUGGAAGUGUGGACGCUCCCACCGAGCUGCGCAGUGUACUUUGAAAAAGCCAUGUCGUCUGUGCAAUGGAAUACAUUUGCAAAUCCUCCAUGAUGUGAAUGUUAAGCCAAUGAAGGAGGGCACCUGCCUUGUCAGCUCUACCAAUACAUCGCUGUACUUGGACAGACCUGAAGGGUCCAAUCGAGUCCUUCUUAAAGUCAUUAGAGUUAUCUUGCAACACAAAGGUCAGAGCUUUGACACAUAUGCUGUGCUCGAUGACGGUUCAGAGCGCACCAUCCUUCUGUCAUCAGCAGCUCAAAGACUAGGUCUCACAGGAAAGUCAGAGGACUUAGCCUUGAGGACUAUAAGGCAGGACAUAACAACACUCCAUGGCACAGCAGUUUCUUUCAGGAUCUCAACACCCUCUCAACCUAAUAAGAGCUAUCUUAUCGAGAGAGCCUUUACAGCAGAACCCUUGAGCCUAGCGGAACAUUCCUAUCCGAUUGCAUCCCUUCAACAAAAAUACAGUCAUUUGAGAGGUCUACCACUUCAGCCAAUUCACAAAGCCAGCCCCAUGCUGUUGAUAGGAGCAGACCAUUCUCACCUAAUCACCCCGAUAGAACCAGUCCGCCUUGGUCCACCAGGUGGUCCAGCAGCCAUUAAGACACGUCUGGGUUGGACUCUGCAAGGUCCAGCACGAGUUCUUGAAGAUAAAUUGAAGUCACAGCAGUGUCUGCAUAUUACCAUUAAACCUUCAAUGGUGGAACUUUUUCAGAACGUCGAAAGACUCUGGCAGGCCGAUAUCUUACCCAUAAGGUCCGAAGGGUUGCUCACAAGGUCAAAACAAGAUCAAGAAGCUCUUACCCUUCUACAGAACCAGACCAGGAGAGUACUGGUUGAUGGAGUUAGCCGAUAUGCUACUCCACUCCUUCGCAAGAAAGACAUGCCUCUUCUUCAAGCUUCUAAAGAGGCUGUACUACCAAACCUAAGGAGUAUAGAGAAGCGUCUGGAACGGGACCCCAUCAAAGCUGCUGCAUAUAAGGAGGAGAUAGGUAGGCUAGAGGUCUCUGGGUAUGCACGCAAACUCCUCCCUGAAGAAGUCAACACUGAUGGUGAGUCAUGGUUCAUUCCUCACCAUAUGGUUCAUCAUAAUGGAAAGAAUCGUGUGGUUUUCAACUGUUCCUUCCAGUUUAGAGGCCACAGUUUGAAUGACUACUUACUGCCUGGACCAGCGUUAGGGCCCUCCUUAUUAGGCGUCCUGUUACGCUUUCGUGAGCACAGAGUGGCAAUAAGUGGUGACAUCAAGGGGAUGUUUCAUCAGGUCUGCCUUCUGCCUGAAGAUAAACAUCUCCUCCGUUUUGUGUGGCGGGACCUUGACAGAACUAAACUUCCUGAUGUCUACGAGUGGCAGGUGUUACCCUUUGGCACCACUUGCAGCCCGUGCUGUGCCAUUUACGCCCUUCAACAGCACAUCAUAGAUCACAGCAAGCCCGAUGAUGAUGUCAGAGUCACAGUAGAGAAGAACUUCUAUGUGGACAACUGCUUGCGGAGCCUUCAGUCACCUGAGGAAGCAAGACAACUGGUGGAUAAACUCCGUCAAAUCCUGGCCAGUGGUGGGUUUGACCUUCGACAGUGGGCAAGUAAUGUUCCAAGUGUGGUUGAGCACCUACCAACAGACGCACGAUCCAACAGUACAGAAUUGUGGUUGUCGCAAGAUCGGACUGAAAUACAGGAAUCCACACUGGGUUUGAAGUGGUACUGCCAAUUAGACACCCUUGGGUAUAAAACCCGACCAGUGAAGCCUGGACCACGUACCCUUCGUCACAUCUACAGGGUGCUCGCAACUCAGUAUGACCCACUCGGUUUCAUCAUCCCAUUUACCACACAAGCUAAAGUCUUGGUACAAAGGUUGUGGGAUAAACAGAGGGAAUGGGAUGAUCCCAACCUGCCUGAUGACCUUUUGAAGUCCUGGAAUGACUGGGAAGAAGAGCUCCCUACCUUAGCCAGCAUCUCUUUGCCUCGUUGUUUUGUAUCUUCAGACACUGAUCAGUUCCAGGUUACCCGACAGAUACACAUCUUUUGUGAUGCUUCUGAGCAGGCUUAUGGGUCUGUCUCAUAUCUGCGCACAGAGAACGAUAGUGGUCAAGUACAGGUUGCCUUCAUCAUGGCCAGAUCUAAAGUCGCUCCUAAGCGAAGACAUACCAUACCUCGAUUGGAGUUAUGCGCAGCCCUGAAUGGUGCUCAGCUAGCCAAACUGCUUAAGACUGAACUUACUGUAGAAAUCAGCCAAGUGUUCAUGUGGACAGAUUCCACCACAGUACUCGCCUGGAUCAACUCAGAAUCAUACCGAUUCAAGGUAUUUGUCGGUACAAGGAUAGCGGAGAUCCAAGAGCUCACAGCAGGGUGUACCUGGCGGUACGUUGACUCUGAUAAGAACCCAGCCGAUGAUCUGACCCGGGGUAAAACACUUAAAGAUCUGUCAGUGCCCAACAGAUGGAGUCAGGGGCCAUCAUUCCUCCUUGAACCUGAGUCAUCAUGGCCAAUAACUCCUAAUCUACAACCUCCGGAGGAUAAAGCAGAGCAUCGUAAGGGAAUAUUCUGUGGCAUUUCAACAGAGAUUAAUCUCCCAAGCAUUCCUGAUCCUGCUACUUGCAGUUCCUGGAAGGAGCUAGUAGAGGCAACAGCCCAGAACCUUAAAGGAACAGAACAGCUCUCAGCAGCAGAUUAUCUAGCUGCGGAAUUGCUCAUCCUCCAAAAAUCCCAGAGGGACAGUUUCCCUGAUGAGUACAGAUUACUUACAGAUGGGAAACCUGUACAGUCAACCAGUCGGUUACUUACCCUAGCACCAGAAUUUGACACGUCCAGUCAGCUUGUCAGAGUUGGUGGCCGUCUGCGACGGGCUGAAGGAUUGGAAUCAUCAGUAAUCCACCCUAUAGUUCUACAUCCUCAUCAUUUCAGCACUAAAUUACUAAUCCAGGAUUACGACAGCAAGCUCUGCCACCCAGGACCCGAUAGGGUUUUUGCAGAAAUGAGGAGAAACUUUUGGGUAUUGAGAGGACGUGAAGCUAUACGCAAGCAGCAGCAUCAAUGUAAAGAGUGCCAAAAGUGGAAGAGUAAGCCAGUUGUUCCAAAAAUGGCAGAUCUACCUCCAGCCCGCUUGAGACUACAUAAACCACCAUUCUACAGUACUGGCAUGGACUGUUUCGGACCAUUUCAAAUUAAAAUCGGCAGACGCUGUGAGAAGAGGUGGGGAGUAAUCUUUAAGUGCCUAACAACGAGAAGUAUACAUCUGGAUCUUCUCACUUCUAUGGAUACAGAUUCAUUCCUGAUGGCCUUAAGGAGGUUUGUAGCCCGGCGUGGCACACCAUUUGAGUUAAUCUCUGACCAGGGCACCAAUUUCCGUGGAGGAGAAAGAGAGCUGCAAGAAGCAUUUUCUUCCCUCAGCCCUCAACUACAACAACAGCUGGCCAAAAGGAAAAUAUCCUUCCGCUUCAACCCACCAAGUGCUCCACACUUUGGCGGAACCUGGGAAAGAGAGAUUCGGUCUGUGAAAAAUGCCCUACGCACCACCCUUGGCUCACAGGUUGUGACUGAAGAAGUGCUCCUGACAGUCCUAAUUGAAGUUGAAGGCAUUUUAAACAGUAAGCCACUAGGUUACACCUCAAGUAACAUAGCUGACGUUGAUCCUGUUACGCCUAACUACCUGCUCAUGGGGCGGCCAGAUAGUUCUUUACCACCAGUGGUCUAUCCAGCUACUGAACUCAUGGGGCGGCGGAGAUGGAAGCAAAGCCAGGUAUUGGCUGACCAGUUCUGGUCGAGUUUCAUCCGUCACUACUUACCUUCACUACAGUCUCGUGGAAAGUGGCAUUCCGAGGUUAAAAACAUUUCCACUGGAGAUGUAGUUAUGGUUGUAGACCCACAGGUCCCACGUGCUUUGUGGUUAUUGGGCAAGGUUAUAAAAACCUUCCCUGGUUCAGAUGGAUGUAUUAGAGCAGCUGAGAUCCAAAUCAAUGAUAAGAUCUACAUGCGACCUGUUGCUCGUUUGAUUCCCCUUCCUGCUUUCUCAGACGAAGAUGUGUCCAGGACUUAUCUCCUACAAAUUGACUAAGCCUAUAAAGAACAAAUAUGCUCCGCAUAUUUGGGGGCGGCAGUGUUAAGAAGACACAGCCAAUGAACAUGCUCUACAGUCAACAAGCGCAAUCUCCAGCCAAUAAGCGCACUCUCCACUGUGUGUCGUCAGUCAGUGUGCACCCGUUGAAGAGAUAUAGUUUCCUGAGGCAGAAACAACGGUAAAACUUCUCCAUAAAGUGGACAUUCCUUUAGUGAGUCAUUGAAAAUAAACCACAUUUCUACGUAAAUGUCCACUAAAUGAGACUGUUGAACAAUAAAUGCCCUGUGGUCUGACUGUGCUGUCAUGUUUAAAUAAUUUCAUUCAAUCCUUGAACUGAAUCCUGACUCAGAUGUCUUGACCGACAUACCAGUGCGAACACGCACCCACCUGAACUAGUGCACACAAUAGAAUAAAUCCCUCA